CUCGUUCUGCUCACAGACUUGUCUUCUUUCUCCUGUAAAAUGCCUUUAAUUGAUGAUCACUAUCACCGAUUUUACCCGUAUCUAACUCGUUCAAUUUAUUGUAACCUGACUCGCUGUGUUCCCCAUAUCAACUCACUGUAACAAUGAGCCGAAUCAGGAGCAUCGAGAUCCUCGAUCCCUACUACCCCUCCCUCUAUGUUAGAGGAGCUUCCAUUUUCACUCCCAAGACCCUAGCUUUUCCGUCGUUUAUAGUAGACGAGGAAACCGAUGAUCUCAGUUUUGCUCUUGAUCUUUUAAAACCCGACCCCUGUGAGCUCUUCGACUCAGUUUCGGAUCUGGUCCAAAUCGAGAAACCUUUGUCUUUUUACUCCUACAAGAGGAUCCAGAAACGAGUCCGGACCGAGUUGUGCUUCCAGACCCUAUGUGAUCGAGUCAGCGCUCUCGAGUCGAGG
rnacentral:misc_RNA from 1 species